rnacentral:rRNA from 1 species
UACGUAGGGGGCAAGCGUUGUCCGGAAUCAUUGGGCGUAAAGCGCGUGUAGGCGGCUCGAUAAGUCUGCUGUGAAAGUCCAGGGCUCAACCCUGGGAUGCCGGUGGAUACUGUCGAGCUCGAGUCCGGAAGAGGCGAGUGGAAUUCCUGGUGUAGCGGUGAAAUGCGCAGAUAUCAGGAGGAACACCAGCGGCGAAGGCAGCUCGCUGGGACGGUACUGACGC